AUACCAAGUCUAAAAUCUUUACGUUAAAUACAACUCGAGAAAUAAAGCAAUGAAACUGCGUUAUUUUGCAAAUAUAAAUGUACAUCCGAGCGAACCUGCGAUCAAGCAGCGGAAUUACAUCGUUACGUCACUGCGCGACUCUGUAAUCGAGCAAUUUCGAAGAGAAUAGAAUAGAUAUUUUGUCUGUCAAUUUUAAAGUCUUCUAGGUAAAUGGCGUAUUUAAACGAUUCUUCGAGCGAUAUUUUAACCUGUUCUAACUUAAAAGAUGGUAAAGAAAUUUCAAAGAUAAAUGGAGGGUUUAAAUAUUAUACUUUUGAACUGGUUAAUGAAACGGGGACAUAUUUUUCUGACAUGCUAAGACGAAAGCAGAAAAUAUGUGUAUUGAAGAUUCUAAUUCAGAGUUUUAACGACACCACAAUUUUCGAGACAUUGUCAAUGACUGGGAAGACAAUCUUAUUUUGAACUUCAUAAAACUGAUCUUUAUUUACAAAGUUUAAAUUAAUUGCAUUUGCAAAUUGUUUGGUGGCUUCAUAGGUUCCUCCAGUCAUGAUAGUUGCAGCAGGAAUUAAAAUAUUACCUGCUGGUUUAUUGUGCAAAUAUGGUUGAGACUUCCACUGUUCCUCACCUUCAGAUUCCUCAUCUGUAUCUAGUUCCUCAAGAUAGGUAUAAUCAUCAUCACUAUCUGAUGCAGCAAUAUCAUCACUGCUUCCUAAAGAGAUUUCUGAAUCAGAUGAUAUAAUAGGAGUUGUUAUGAUAGGAGUUGUUGUGUUAGGAGUUGUGGGAGAUGUUACUGGUUUUGGUGUACGACUUGAAGAAACUGCAUUUAAA